CUUCCAGCAGCCUUCAGAUGAAGAUGUAGAACUCUCAGCUCUUCCUGUACCAUGCCUGCCUGGAUGCUGCCAUGCUUCAUACCGUGAUGAUUAUCGGACUGAACUCUGAACUGUCCAUCCCUGUACAUAGGAGAGUGAAGCUCCAGUCAACAAAAACCACGGGCUUUCCAGGACUGCUACAGAUGUGAAAAGAACCAUUUGCCUGGGGAACUUGACCAAGAUGUAAUUCCAGUUGACAACUUUGCCCCGGCACAGAGGAUGGUAAAGGAGAAUGGCCGAAAUGAGUCCCGCUUAAUGAGAAGCUUCCAGUUGACAACUUUGCCUGGCACGGAGGAUGGUAAAGCAGAAUGAUCGAAAUGAGCCCAGCUUAAUGAGAAGCCUCAGGUGACGCUAAGAUCUUAAUGAAUCCAAUCUGCCUUCCUCAAAGGAGUGGAUUUUUCUACAGUUCUGUUUAAAACUCCUGUGUCGGUUUGAAUAAAGAAUUGGAUAAA